CACCGACGUAGCAGAAGCGUGUUAGGAAGCUAGGGCAAGAUGUAGAAAUCACAGUGCGGUGCACCGACUGAGUGCUAAGCAGUAAGACUGGAGGGAACGGAACAGGAGCUCGCACACUUCCUCUUGGAGGAGGAGCGUGUGGGCUUGGGUAGGUUUUGUUUUUGCGGCAGAGGCAAGGAGCUCCAAGGGCCGCCGCACAGCUUCGGGCUUUUCCUUCUCUCGCUCUCUCUCUCUCGAGCUCGCCUAAACUAUCAGCGCCCAGCCUAGGCGGGGUGGAAGAGGAGGGAGGGGGGAAUGGAAGCCUGCCUUGCACACACCGGAAAGUUCGCCGCCCGAUGCUGCCCUCUAGAGACUGCGGGCCGACUUGCACUUCACUUGGUGUUGGCCGGGCUUCGAUGCGAGCGCAACCCGAGGCGAUACGCCGCAGUAGGUGCUCAAAUCGAGGAACGCCCGGAGGCCUAGCGGGCCACCCACUUGAGUCUUCCACGGCCUCAGCUGGUCCACGACUGUGUGGCCCAUUAGAUCUAUGGUGUGGCCACAGUUGGAGUACAGUGUACAGGUCUAGUCACCAUAUCUCAAGGAAGACAUUAUGGAACUGGAAAAGGUGCAGAAGGGGACAACCAGAAUGAUCAGGGGCCUGGACCACCACCUUUCUGAGGCAAGGCUACAACAUCUGGGGCUUUUUUGGUUUAGAAAAAAGAUCUAAUAAUCUCUGCAAGUUGGGGACAGUGCGCAGAAGACUGGUGGCAGACUUUGAGCCAAGUGUCUGUCCUGUGAGUGACACAAGUCAGCAAACGAAUGGAAGAGGUGGGUAAGUUCUCAGAACAUUAGCCUUGCAGUGCAUAAGAUUGGCCUCUGCAACAGGCAGGCUCUGUUUUAAAAUUAACUGAAUACCCAAACAAACAACAUUGGACUCUGGUGAUGAAGAUACGCUUUGCACAAGGUUGGCUGUUAAGACGAAGCUUGUGCUACAAAAUGCAUAAGAUCGCACACUAACUUAAGAUUAGCCAUACAGGAGGUUGGUUAUGAAUGUAGACUGUAAAAGCAUGUAUCCUAUUAAAUAUUGAUAUUUCAUUGACCCCAAUAUUGAUAUUGUUG